rnacentral:lncRNA from 1 species
AGGCAGGGCCUGCAGGCAGCUCCAAAUUACCAGAGUUAGAAUCUGAAACUAAAGUUGUUGAUGAUUCUCAGGUUUGUGCACCAAUGCCAGAAACUGUGCCCGAAGCUGAAGUUGGUGGUGACGUUGAAGGUUUAUCAGAGGCAGGGCCUGCAGGCAUUUCCAAAUUACCAGAGUUAGAAUCAAUGCCAGAAACUGUGCCCGAAGCUAAAGUUGGUGAUGACAUUGAAGGUUUAUCUGAGGCAGGGCCUGCAGGCAGUUCCAAAUUACCAGAGUUAGAAUCUGAAACUAAAGUUGGUGAUGAUUCUCAGGUUUGUGCACCAAUGCCAGAAACUGUGCCCGAAGCUAAAGUUGGUGAUGACGUUGAAGGUUUAUCCGAGGCAGGGCCUGCAGGCAGUUCCAAAUUACCAGAGUCAGAAUCUGAAACUAAAGUUGGUGAUGAUUCUCGGGUUUGUGCAUCAAUGCCAGAAACUGUGCCCGAAGCUAAAGUUGGUGAUGACGUUGAAGGUUUAUCUGAGGCAGGCCCUGCAGGCAGCUCCAAAUCACCAGAGUUAGAAUCUGAAGCUAAAGUUGGUGAU